rnacentral:rRNA from 1 species
ACCCGCUGAAUUUAAGCAUAUUAAUAAGCGGAGGAAAAGAAACUAACAAGGAUUCCCCUAGUAACGGCGAGUGAACGGGGAAGAGCCCAACACCGAAUCCCUUGGCGCACAAGUCAACGGGAACUGUGGUGUUAAGGUUACCCUUCGUGCCGGUCUAGGCGUCUCAAGUCCACCUGAUUGUGGCUCAAGCCCAGAGAGGGUGUAAGGCCCGUAGAGGCGCUCUGACUGGUUCCUGGGGUGUACCUACGAGUCGGCUUGUUUGGGAAUGCAGGCCAAAGCGGGUGGUAAACUCCAUCCAAGGCUAAAUACUGACACGAGUCCGAUAGCGGACAAGUACCGUGAGGGAAAGUUGAAAAGAACUUUGAAGAGAGAGUUCAAUAGUACGUGAAACCGCUUAGAGGCAAACGGAUGGUGCUCAAACUGGCCUGGGGAAUUCAACCGAUUGGGUGGUUGGGCUGGCUGACGUCAGAUCUCUAUCUAUUUUGGGACUGCGCGUUGGUCGGUUGCCAGCUCCGAGUCGGUGCACUUUCCCUAGCGCCUUCGCCACGACCGACGACACUGGCUACCCGCGGCUGGGGUAAGGUGACAAUCUGCUUCACGGCAGUGUUGCGUUUAUAGACCCUGGCGUCGGACAUUGUUUGGCCAGGACGUCGGAGCUAGCGGCGCCCGCUCACAAUUUUGGGCUCGUAUGCUGGCCUACUUGGCUGUGUCGAUGCUUGCACUGGUUAAUCAGUACAGGUGACGAUUGCGGUCUUGCCUGGUUGGUCUCUGCGAGUUUGGUGCCUAUAGUCUGUGGUGUUCUCUGUGGGUAGACUAUCCGACCCGUCUUGAAACACGGACCAAGGAGUCUAACAUGUGCGCGAGUCAUGGGGAUUUCUACGAAACCCAAAGGCGCAGUGAAAGUAAAGGCUUGCUUCCGCAGGCUGAGGUGGGAUCUCGUGCAUCGCGAUUGGCGAGCGCACCACCGGCCCGUCCUAUCUGUCUCUGUCAGUGGGGCGGCGCAAGAGCGUACACGUUGGGACCCGAAAGAUGGUGAACUAUGCUUGCGCAGCUCGAAGUCAGUGGAAACACUGAUGGAGGAGCGCAGCGUUUCUGACGUGCAAAUCGAUCGUCAAACGUGAGUAUAGGGGCGAAAGACUAAUCGAACCAUCUAGUAGCUGGUUCCCUCCGAAGUUUCCCUCAGGAUAGC